UACGAGGGGGGCGAGCGUUGUUCGGAAUUAUUGGGCGUAAAGGGUGCGUCGGCGGUUUGGUAAGUCUUAUGUGAAAUCUACAGGCUCAACUUGUAGUCUGCAUGAGAAACUGCCGGGCUUGAGUAUGGGAGAGGUGAGUGGAAUUCCUGGUGUAGCGGUGAAAUGCGUAGAUAUCAGGAGGAACACCUGUGGCGAAAGCGGCUCACUGGACCAUAACUGACGCUGAUGCACGAAAGCUAGGGGAGCAAACAGG
rnacentral:rRNA from 1 species